UUACAGUCUUUUCACUUUUCUGUUUACUGCGUGUAGUUUAUAAUGAGCCCAUGAACGCUGUCUGGUCUGCUGAUCCAAGACCUCUUUGAGGUACUUACCUCGAACAUGCUUUUGGACCAGUCUUUCUGACUCAGACUGAUGGCCAAACCUUUUACAGACUUCAGAGGAAACCAACAGCUUUUUCAGUGAGUAGUUUGCUCUCUGGCGGAAUCGGCUAUCUGCUGAGGUGUCUGCCCUGGAGGAGGUACCCUUGGACCACGAUUAUUGUUAGCAGGGAGCGAGAUGGCAGCUGUCAGUUACACCAGCCCUGCAAACCCAAGUGAUGAGAUGAUGCGGUGGACAGUGGAAACGAGCACCCCUGAAUAACUCCUGGCCACCAAGCUGGAAGAUGCUCCACUCAGUAGCUGGAAACACAAACCAAGGGUCUUACUUGUGGCACCUCAUUCCUUUCUGACUGAGCAGUACUGCCUCAGACUUCCUGCUCAGCCAUAUAACAGGCCUAGUUAACAGUGCCUGUGCAUACUGAGACAUUCAGGUUGAUCCUGGACUUCAGUGAUGAGUCCUGGUGAAUGAUUGUCAUGUUGUGUUUGGGUUUUUUGUGUCAUUUGUGUUGCACUGAUGGUAUUCCCUCAGUUCACACACUGUCCUAAUGCAGUUACACAUAAAUUGUGAUGUUGUGUGUAGUAUGGCUUACUGCUUCAAAUUCAGUUGGAGUAUAACAAAAAAAAUUUAUUCACAGGACUUUGUACAUUCUGUUCAUUUUUCACAUUGUUUGUUCAACAAUUCAAAUAACAAGUGUGACUUGUAUUAACAGAACUUAAAUUAUUUCGUCCACAUUUUACAUAUCCUGCACAAACAUAAAUAUGAAAACUACAAGUGUUUGUACAAUAAUGGGUCCUAUUCACACUACCAAGUGGCAGCAGUGGUCUUCCCACUCACCCCCUCACCUGAUGCGGGAUACUUGCAAUCCUACAGGCAGAGGGAAUCAAAGUGGCAGUUCACCACACAGCAACAGUACAGGUUUACAUGACUAGGUUCAAAUAAUUCAUAUUCCAAUGGUACUGUACAUACUUUGUAUUUUUUCUUUAGGUUGUCCCAUUUUGUUUCUUCGCCUGCAACUGGGUGAUUUGGCCCACCAGGCCCAUCUGCUCUACACUGAAAAAAUGGGAAUUGGCAGGCUUUUGAAUUUGCACAAAUGAAUUUAGUUAAUGCUACACAAGCCUUUCAUGUUUCUCUUAUUUACAUGAUUGAAUAAAGUACAAUUUACUUGAUUAUAAACAAUACUGAGACUACUCAUUUUUCUUGCAUUGAUUUAAAGUGACUAAAUUAGAAUACUAAAACCAUUGUAAUCAUGUUUGACCACAACCGGAAAUGAUGCAAUAUAUUCAAAGACAACAACUAAAUAUGAU